ACGAACGCUGGCGGCGUGCUUAACACAUGCAAGUCGAGCGGAAAGGCCCUGCUUUUGUGGGGUGCUCGAGUGGCGAACGGGUGAGUAACACGUGAGUAACCUGCCCUUGACUUUGGGAUAACUUCAGGAAACUGGGGCUAAUACCGGAUAGGAGCUCCUGCUGCAUGGUGGGGGUUGGAAAGUUUCGGCGGUUGGGGAUGGACUCGCGGCUUAUCAGCUUGUUGGUGGGGUAGUGGCUUACCAAGGCUUUGACGGGUAGCCGGCCUGAGAGGGUGACCGGCCACAUUGGGACUGAGAUACGGCCCAGACUCCUACGGGAGGCAGCAGUGGGGAAUAUUGCACAAUGGGCGGAAGCCUGAUGCAGCAACGCCGCGUGCGGGAUGACGGCCUUCGGGUUGUAAACCGCUUUCGCCUGUGACGAAGCGUGAGUGACGGUAAUGGGUAAAGAAGCACCGGCUAACUACGU
rnacentral:rRNA from 1 species